ACUCAAAUGAAUUGACGGGGACCCGCACAAGCAGCGGAGCAUGUGGUUUAAUUCGAAGCAACGCGAAGAACCUUACCUAAACUUGACAUCCCUUGGACCGCUCCUUAAUCGGAGCUUUCCCUUCGGGGACUGAGGUGACAGGUGGUGCAUGGUUGUCGUCAGCUCGUGUCGUGAGAUGUUGGGUUAAGUCCCGCAACGAGCGCAACCCUUGCCUUUAGUUGCCAUCAUUAAGUUGGGCACUCUAGAGGGACUGCCGAGGAUAACUCGGAGGAAGGUGGGGAUGACGUCAAAUCAUCAUGCCCCUUAUGUUUAGGGCUACACACGUGCUACAAUGGCUGGUACAGAGGGCUGCGAAACCGUGAGGUUAAGCCAAUCCCUUAAAGCCAGUCUCAGUUCGGAUUGUAGGCUGAAACUCGCCUACAUGAAGCUGGAGUUGCUAGUAAUCGCGGAUCAGAAUGCCGCGGUGAAUGCGUUCCCGGGUCUUGUACACACCGCCCGU
rnacentral:rRNA from 1 species